rnacentral:rRNA from 1 species
GCCAGACUCCUACGGGAGGCAGCAGUGAGGAAUAUUGGUCAAUGGGCGCGAGCCUGAACCAGCCAAGUCGCGUGAAGGAUGACGGCCCUACGGGUUGUAAACUUCUUUUGUCAGGGAGCAAUUGAGUCCACGUGUGGGCUUAGCGAGAGUACCUGAAGAAAAAGCAUCGGCUAACUCCGUGCCAGCAGCCGCGGUAAUACGGGGGAUGCAAGCGUUAUCCGGAUUUAUUGGGUUUAAAGGGUGCGUAGGCUGUGAGGUAAGUCAGCGGUGAAAUGCCCCCGCUCAACGGGGUGAAGUGCCAUUGAUACUGCCUUGCUGGAAUGCGGAUGCCGUGGGAGGAAUGUGUGGUGUAGCGGUGAAAUGCAUAGAUAUCACACAGAACACCGAUUGCGAAGGCAUCUCACGAAUCCGCGAUUGACGCUGAUGCACGAAAGCGUGGGUAUCAAACAGGAUUAGAUACCCUAGUA